AAGCGGUGGAUGAUGUGGUUUAAUUCGAUGCAACGCGAAAACCUUACCCACCUUUGACAUGUACGGAAGCCUUUAGAGAUAGAGGCGUGCUCGAAAGAGAGCCGUAACACAGGUGCUGCAUGGCUGUCGUCAGCUCGUGUCGUGAGAUGUUGGGUUAAGUCCCGCAACGAGCGCAACCCUUGUCAUUAGUUGCUACAUUCAGUUGGGCACUCUAAUGAGACUGCCGGUGACAAGCCGGAGGAAGGUGGGGAUGACGUCAAGUCCUCAUGGCCCUUAUAGGUGGGGCUACACACGUCAUACAAUGGCUGGUACAAAGGGUUGCCAACCCGCGAGGGGGAGCUAAUCCCAUAAAGCCAGUCGUAGUCCGGAUCGUAGUCUGCAACUCGACUACGUGAAGUCGGAAUCGCUAGUAAUCGUGGAUCAGAAUGCCACGGUGAAUACGUUCCCGGGUCUU
rnacentral:rRNA from 1 species